rnacentral:misc_RNA from 1 species
AAGUCGUAACAAGGUUUCCGUAGGUGAACCUGCGGAAGGAUCAUUAUUGAAAUAAACCUGAUGGGUUGUUGCUGGUUCUCUAGGGAACAUGUGCACGCUUGUCAUCUUUAUAUCUCCACCUGUGCACCUUUUGUAGAUCUGGAUAACUUUCUGAAUGCCUAGCAUUUGGGUUUGAGGAUUGACUUUAAUAGGUCUUUCUUUACAUUUUCAGAUCUAUGUUUCUUCAUAUACCCCAAUGUAUGUUAUAGAAUGUAAUCAAUGGCCUUUUGUGCCAAUAAACAUAUACAACUUUCAGCAACGGAUCUCUUGGUUCUC